AUCCUGAGAGGUUGGAAGAAGAGAGGGACCCAUAUGGGAGGCUGGGAAAGGUAAGACUCCAGGGCUAACACAGAACAAUGAAAUAGUCCAGAGCCACUUGGUCAUGAUUCUAGAGAGGACCCUGUCCUUCCUUUUUAGGGUCAGCACCGUCAGUUCUGAUGUAUCCCUUGCAAUAGCGACUCAAACUCAUGUGUAAUUGAUGGGAGAGCUUGGCAGCAAUUCAGUUCUCCAAAGUGUUACUGUGUGCCCCUCCACCGGCCUCAGGCACUGGGCCAGGGGAAAGAGAGAGAGUUGGGGAAGGACAGACGAUUAAGCAAGCAAUUUUAAAGGUGAUGAGUAUCACAGAUAAAUUAAUCCCAAUCCUGAGGAAAACAAGGGGAUCCUGAAGAAAGUUCCCUUUAAUCUGAGACUUGAAUGCUGAGGUAGAAAUGAUCUGAGUGAGGGUGAGGGGGGCAUUGACUGAGCAGAGUAAGUAGAGCUUCCUCGGCUCAGGAAACAGCUCCGCGGAGGCCGGGAGGGAGCGAGUGGCUGGAGCAGCGUGCGUGGUGCAGGGGCACAGAGAGAUGGCAGCCACAGCGUGCUGGCCCGGUCCUGGGCUCAGUCAUCACCGUGACUCUUGGGCUCCUCUCAAAACCUCAGUCUUGCUGGGUCUCUGGCUGGAUUUGGAGAACAGGGCCCAGAUGUCCCAAGGGCUGGAAUCUGACGGCCACUGUCCGGGGAUAGAGGCCUGAGAUUUCAGCUCCCACCCCGUCCCUUACCCUGCAGGGUCCUCUUGGGUCCUGGACUCACCAGAACUCUCCAUCCUCCGUGACCUGGUGUUGCAGACGGGCCUUCUCGUUCUUGCCCACAAAGCUCCAGUCCUUCCAACUGGAGGGAGAGUGGAGGAGUUAGGGAAGGAAAAAGAAAGGGAAGGCCUGGUGUGAGUUGGGACAGGAGGUGUCAGAGAAAUAUGAAUAAGUUCAGAGAAUAGGUCAUCUCCAAACUGCAGCCAGCGUGAACCAUCGAAAUGCAAAUCUGAUCUGAUACCCUCAGUAUAAAACCCAAUAAUUGCUUCCCACCAUCCUCAGGAUUAAGACCACGCUUUUUGAAUGGUUUAUAAGGGCUUGACUCUUCUCUGGCUGAAUCUUUAACCAUUCCUCACACUUUAAAGUUAGGAGUUGGGCUCUGGAAAUAGGUAAACUGGGAUUUCAAUUUAAUCAUACCAGUACUAGCUGUAACCUUGGGCAAGUCACUUCACCCCUCUCAGCUUCUGUUUUCUCAACUGCAAAAGGGGAAUGAUUAUAUCACCUACUCACAGGGCUGUGAUGAGCAAGAAAUGAAAUAAUGCAUGCAAAACUUUUAGAACUGACCCGUCAUCUAAUAAGUAACUGUCUUGAGUUACUGAGAGAAAGACCAAACAUGUAAACUUCUCCUUCCUCCUGCCACCCCACGAAACAUCCCAGUUUUGUGUUUUAAAAGGCUGGGCAGUUUUACACACUCUUUCUCCCGAAGAAGGAGGAAAUAAAGCACAUUUGUGUUUCAGGCAUGUGGAGGAGAAUGAAACUAAACUAGUUUGGAGAGGUAAGGGAUUGAGGAAGUGCUUGGAACCAGGGAAUACCAGAGGGGAAGUGGAGAUUCCUGAGACCAGCAGGAGGGACACAGUGCCGGGGAGUGGAGGGAGGGUCUCCUUGUGUGACUGAGGCUGGGCCCCACUUGUCAGCAAUCCCUGCAGUGGAGGUGUUGGCAGAAAGUGUGUUAAGGCCGGACACCAAGAUCUGAGACUGGAGGACACAGCGAGGGUCCCUGUGGGUGACUCGGGCCAGUGGAGUGGACAACUGAUGGGGCACCGAGAGCCUUCCCAGAGCAGAGAGCCUAGUUCAAAUGCCACUCCCUCCAGGCAACUUUCUACCUUCCUGUCCCACCCAGACCAGGAGAAGGGCUCCCUUUUUGUGACCCUUACCAUAGCAUUUCUCUCAACGAUUAGUGUUUUUCUGUCCUUCCCACUGGACCUUAAAGCCUACAGGGCAGGGCCUGAAUCUCUGCGUUCAUUUCUAAGUCCCCAGACAGUAUCAUGGGGCCUGGCACAUACUGCACACUGAGGGACUGGGGAUUUGUUGCACGGAUAAGAGAAGGGAACAGUAAGGAGACCAGGAUCAGCAUCUUAUCGAUCUACCAAGCGAGGCUGCCUGCUCACGGAAGGGCCCCAGUGCUUAGACCUGUGCUUGGGAUUCAGUAGGUGCUCAGCGAAUACUUGCUAAGUGAAUGAAUGGCCGAAUGAACCAGUAAUUACGGUGCCCUGAGAUGAGAGGUAUGUUGAGGUAAGCCAGGGGCUGAAGGACACACACAGCCUGGGUGUGGUCCUUCCCAGCUGCUGAGUCCUGCUCUCCCCCGUUGGGAAUAAAGGAGCUCCAGGGCCUACUCUCCAACCAGAGAGGCGGAGUCAGGAGCCAGUGAUUGGGGUGGGACAAUAAAGGCUUUGUGAACAUUCUGGAGCCUUCAUAGCAGCUUCCCCAGGUGUGUUAUUUUUGCAGCCCCCAGUCACUUGCUCUCAGUGAUAAGCAGUAAAGUUCUUGCAAAGGGCCUGUGCAUCUCUUUAUGGGGACAGUGAGGGAGAGGAUAUCUUAGCACUGGUUAAGCACUCUUCUGACACAACCGCAUUUUCUCCUCAUAACAGCCCACCGGGUAGGUGCUAACAUUGUUCCCAUUUUACAGAUAAGGCAACAGAGAUUCCGAGAAGGGAAGUCACCUGUCCAGUCCAGACCCCUGCAUCAAGACUCCCCUCCUGCCUGGACCUAGCCCAGGCUUUCUAGACAUCUUUCCUUUCCAGACAGUGGCCAUCAGCCAGCUCUCUGGAUCCCAGGUUCCCGUGGCUCUGCUCCCAGCCCUUCCCUGAAGCCCACGUCCCCUCUUCUCCUCUGCGGAUCCUUGGUUUUAAGGGUGAUUUUAGACCAAGCAUUUGUAGUACUCUUGUGGCUCGGUACCCAGCCCUGCCUUGCCCCAGGCCUUGUUGUCCCCUAUUCGUGGGGUCCCCUCACCCACCUGUCACUCCAGGAGCCAUUCCACUCCACCUGGCCCCAGGGGUUCCGCAGCCGCACCAGCUUCACUUUCUCACCCUUGUACAGGGCCUUGAGCAAAGAGAAAAAGCUUUCUCCCUUUGGGCCCUUUCUGAAAGGGGGUCUGCUGUCUUGCCCUGAGGGCUGGGGUGGGAGUGGGGAGAGAAUCCUGUACAGGGGGCUGUCCUGCCUGGCCCCGGUCAAGGACACUAAUCACAAGUCCCCUGUGGAAUGGCAGGGUGAUGGGUCAGAACCUUAGGGCUGAGUCUGCAGGAGUCAGGCUUGGCCACCACCUUGCCAUCUUCUAAGAAGUGAUUUUCCCAGCGAGCGUCUGGCCAUUCAGAGCUUUGGGAGAGGAGGCAGGGAAUAUAAUGUAGGACUCUGCUAGUACAAGGUGCCUCUGUGUGAAUUAGAAGAAAACGCCCCUGCUGGCUGAGGAACCGUAGAAAAUGUCCCUUCCAGAUGGAUCAAUCAGAAAAAGGGGGCCUUCCUCCUGGUUGCUGCAUGGGCUGCUGCAGACGACUGCCCCUCUCCGCCCAUCUCUAUGAACAGGGCACAGCUCGCCCAACUGUGCACAAGGGGUCUGACAAGGUUCCUGUCUCUGACGUGACCCAGUGAAGGCCAGACAUCCCAGGGGAAGCAAAACCUUGGAACUGACCAUGAAAAACAAGAAAGACAAGAGCCCAUGAUAUCAACUUCAUAAAACCAAAGUGCUUUCUAUUAGUUCUUUGGAAAUGUUGGGGCAAUUGCUAUCUUUAGCGCUAAAAACAAACAUAAACUGAGCACCAUCUUGUGGCAAGACCCACCUACCAGUCCCAGUGGCCUCCUCCAACCCCAGGCGCUCGGCCUGAGUGCCUGAUUGGAGGCAAAUUCUACAGAUGUGAAGGGACACAGAAAGCCAAGUCCUGACUUCGGGAGGUUCACCCAAGUAGCCCCUCAAGUCCCGUCCCGCCAAGCCCCGCCAGGCUCACCUCCUCCAGCCCAGUGACUGAGUAGGCAUGGCCUUUGACCAGCCCGCAGGCCAUUCUUGUCUCGUACUGAACUGGAACAAUUGUCUGUGGAGUGAAAACCACACAACCUGUCAGGGUUGCUGCCUGAGACAAAGUUCACACUGGUUCACGUCCUGGGUUCUGUGAGGACGAGGACUCCUCCACGCCCUGGAAGUGUGCCUCACAGCCGUGAGAAGGCCCUCACUAGCCCUUUCAGAGAGCCAAGAAGAUGCAGCCCAGACAAGUGGUUUCCCCAGACCGUCGGAGAGCAACAUGGAGCUGGGGCACGAGCCCCCCAGAACAUGCUAAAGAAAUCAAAAGCGCCCAGGGAGAGAAUUCUGAGGAGGCCAGAGGAGAGUCCUGCUGAGAUGUGACCGUGCCUCAGGGAGCAGCGGUAGCUCUUCCAUUUGAGAUUUGCAGCCACAGGAGAUCCUCGGCAGAGGGGUAGGAUCACCAAAGCCCAGUGAGCCCUAGACGGAUCUCUGUGGCUUCACUUUGCCUGAUAGCAUAACAGCUUUAAGAGGAGCAGCCUGGAGGCCUUUUCAAGAGAAACUGCCUGGACCAUGGAGUUUGAAGGACCUCCCACAGAGAUUCCCUCCAAAAGCUGCCUCCCACACCUUCCUCAGGAGCCUCGGAGAGGGCAAGUUAUUCCAACCCAGACCCUUGGAAGGCCUCAGGAGGAGGCUGUGUGUGAGGUGCUGGCUGCUGAGGAAGAGCUUUCCCACAGUCCACACCAAAGAUAAUACUUCCCGAACAAGAGGCUGAGACAGAGGAAAGACUGGUGAAGCAGACAAGCUAACCAACCAGACAGAAAAUUGGACGCUCAUCCACAUGGCAAAUGUCGUCUUUGUUGAAAAACUCCUUUAAUAUGGAGCUAUUCUGGGGCGAUUUCAACAGGAGUUCGAGUUACAAAAGCACAUUUUGUGAGCAUAUAGAUUCCAUGUGCCCAAGGGACAUGCGUGGUACAUGGACAGUUUCAGAGCUGCCUUCUAAGGAAGGUGGGUACAGCUAAAAGCAGGGCUUUUGUCUCGCUGAGUGGGGUGUGUGAGUGUCCUGGAGACUCUGGAGAGGAGGCUGUGGAAUGAGGCACACCUCCUGUGACACAAGGCAAGGAACUAGUGAGAAAGGUGGGAAGGACAGAAAUUAAAUGAAGCAAUCACCAGCACGUUGAUAGAUGAG